rnacentral:rRNA from 1 species
UACGAAGGGGGCUAGCGUUGUUCGAAAUUACUGGGCGUAAAGCGCACGUAGGCGGAUCCUUAAGUCAGGGGUGAAAUCCCGAGGCUCAACCUCGGAACUGCCUUUGAUACUGGGGAUAUCGAGUCCGUGAGAGGUGAGUGGAACUGCGAGUGUAGAGGUGAAAUUCGUAGAUAUUCGCAAGAACACCAGUGGCGAAGGCGGCUCACUGGCCCGGUACUGACGCUGAGGUGCGAAAGCGUGGGGAGCAAACAGG